GCCGAAGUGGUGGAAUUGGUAGACACGCUGUCUUGAGGGGGCAGUGGGAGAGAAUACCCAUGUCGGUUCGAGUCCGACCUUCGGCA
rnacentral:tRNA from 2 species